rnacentral:rRNA from 1 species
UGGGGGAUAACGCAGCGAAAGCUGUGCUAAUACCGCAUACGAUCUAUGGAUGAAAGCGGGGGAUCGCAAGACCUCGCGCGAUUGGAGCGGCCGAUGUCAGAUUAGCUAGUUGGUGGGGUAAAGGCCCACCAAGGCGACGAUCUGUAGCUGGUCUGAGAGGACGACCAGCCACACUGGGACUGAGACACGGCCCAGACUCCUACGGGAGGCAGCAGUGGGGAAUUUUGGACAAUGGGCGCAAGCCUGAUCCAGCAAUGCCGCGUGCAGGAAGAAGGCCUUCGGGUUGUAAACUGCUUUUGUACGGAACGAAAAGGUCUGGGUUAAUAUCCUGGGCUCAUGACGGUACCGUAAGAAUAAGCACCGGCUAACUACGUGCCAGCAGCCGCGGUAAUA